GAGUUUGAUCAUGGCUCAGAUUGAACGCUGGCGGCAGGCCUAACACAUGCAAGUCGAGCGCGAAAGGCCUUCGGGCUGAGUAGAGCGGCGGACGGGUGAGUAACGCGUAGGAAUCUACCUGGUAGUGGGGGACAACUUGGGGUAAACUCAAGCUAAUACCGCAUACGCCCUAUGGGGGAAAGCGGGGGACCUUCGGGCCUCGCGCUAUCAGAUGAGCCUGCGUAGGAUUAGCUAGUUGGUGAGGUAAAGGCUCACCAAGGCGACGAUCUUUAGCUGGUCUGAGAGGAUGAUCAGCCACACUGGGACUGAGACACGGCCCAGACUCCUACGGGAGGCAGCAGUGGGGAAUAUUGCGCAAUGGGGGCAACCCUGACGCAGCCAUGCCGCGUGUGUGAAGAA
rnacentral:rRNA from 1 species